rnacentral:rRNA from 1 species
GACGAACGCUGGCGGCGUGCUUAACACAUGCAGGUCGAACGGAAAGGCCCUGCUUUUGUGGGGUGCUCGAGUGGCGAACGGGUGAGUAACACGUGAGUAACCUGCCCUUGACUUUGGGAUAACUUCAGGAAACUGGGGCUAAUACCGGAUAGGAGCUCCUGCUGCAUGGUGGGGGUUGGAAAGUUUCGGCGGUUGGGGAUGGACUCGCGGCUUAUCAGCUUGCUGGUGGGGUAGUGGCUUACCAAGGCUUUGACGGGUAGCCGGCCUGAGAGGGUGACCGGCCACAUUGGGACUGAGAUACGGCCCAGACUCCUACGGGAGGCAGAAGUGGGGAAUAUUGCACAAUGGGCGGAAGCCUGAUGCAGCAACGCCGCGUGCGGGAUGACGGCCUUCGGGUUGUAAACCGCUUUCGCCUGUGACGAAGCGUGAGUGACGGUAAUGGGUAAAGAAGCACCGGCUAACUACGUG